CUAGCAGUUUAGCAAAGCUCCUUCUACUGGUCAACUGCUAUAACUGCAGGCAACUCCAAACAGAAAGAGGAACACAAAGGGUGGCAGUUCCUGCCCAGGGCCGCCAUCUUGCUUUCUGCAAGAACCAAGGAGUAAAUCUGCCAUGUGAUCCAGCUGGCUUCCUUUAUAUAGUCCCUUCGAGGGACUGGACUUGGGCCUUGAAACUUCUUUGCCGCCGAAAAGGUUGUUUUCAUUAUUUUGCAGUAAUGGUGGACUAAUUUGUUUCUGUAAUUUGCAUAGCUGUCAGGCCUGUCCGUGAUCAAAGUUCUUAUUUUGCAGCUGUUCUUAUCAUGUUAGAACUUCAACAACAACAACAAAAGGCAAUCACCGGACAACCUUUGCCCAACCAGUUGAAUAAAAAAGUUUCCAACUGGUCAGAUGAACAGCAAUCAAUGCCUGUGCUUCCAGGGAGCACAGCAGACAACUUGAUAUUGUUCUUCGUUCAGUAAGUGAGGAGGUGAGUUUAGUAGCAGGGAGUACUGCAGGUCCCAAAUAGGAUCUUUAUGGAAAGGAUUUUGGCAUAGCUGUCAACUUACAGAUUUGAAAAUAAGGGACCAGCAGCCUCGAAAAUAAGGGAUCAGCAGCCAAAAUAAGGGGCACAGGUAUGUUCAACUUCUGAGCCCCUCCGAGCCAAAGGCAGAAAGCCCAGCCAGCAGCCAAAACGAAGCCUCAAGCGGUGGUUCCCACAGCGCAGCAACCUGGCAAAGGGGAUGCAGCAAGGAAAACCACCGUCACCUCUCCGCUGGGAAGCGCUGAGCAAAGGCAAGUCCCCAGGCAACGGAGGCAGGGAGGGAGGGAGAUGAGCUGCUUCCUUUGAAACCCAGGCAAUUUAAGGGACAUCAUCAAUAAGGGACAGCAGUGGGACACAGCGCUGGGAUAAGGGAGUUUCCCGCCAAAUAAGGGACAGUUGACAGCUAUGGAUUUUGGUUGAGUCUGGAGUAGUAGUAGGUUGGCCACAUGUCAUAGAGGGGGAAGUGGUAGCUAUUGCAGGAUGUCAGUAGUAGCAGUAAUUGUCUGUCUGCCUGCCUGUCUGUUUGUUUGAUUGUUCAUUCGCCACCCAUCUGAGUGAGUUGCCCAGUCACUCUGCGCAACUUCCAACAAACUAAAAUCAUUAAGCACAGUAAAAGAUCAACCAUUUCCCUAUAUAGUCGUACCUCAGAAGUUGAAUGGAAUCAGUUCCGGAAGUCCUUUUGACUUCCAAAAUGUUCGGAAACCAAGGCACGGCUUCCGAUUGGCUGCAGGAACCUCCUGCAGCCAAUCAGGAGCUGCGGAAGCCCUGUCAGGUGUUUGGCUUCCAAAAAAUGUUUGCAAACUGGAACACUCACUUCCGGGUCUGCAGCGUUCAGGAGCUAAAAUGUUCGAGUCGCAAAGCAUUUAACCUCCGAGGUACGACUGUAUUAUUAUUAUUAUUAUUAUUAUUAUUAUUAUUAUUAUUAUUCCCUCCAACAUUUCUCCAUGGUUUCCAAUACUGUAGAUUCCCAUGGAUUGGGAACUCCAGAUUUUACUGAACUCUGUUUCCCAUCAGCCCCAGCCAGCAUUUCCAACAAUAUCUGCAAGACUACAAAUUCCCUAUCCCUCGAUUUGAUCUUGCACUGAAAGGAUUGGGUGUGGAUGAUUUUUCUCUGCACACCCUGGCUGUGUGGGGGUGACCUCUGCAUCGAGUGAUCUCGAGAGCAAGAAUCCUGGGUAAAACACAAAGGUCUCUUGCCUCUUGACAGCUAGCCUGAGGUAUCGUGGGUGAUGAAUCCUUCCUAACCACAGAGGCUAUAAUGAUUGUGGUGAAGCUGUAAGUUGAUGACACAGGCAAAAUCCAAGAAUAGGACUAUGUAAUAGGGUUCGCCAAUUGUCUUGAUUUUUGUCAAGGCAGUCCAAAUAAAAAUUCAACGUUCAUGGGUUCAUUAGUAAGUUCUCUCCUCACCCUAUUUCACAACUCAAGGCAAUGUCUGGUAGUAUUAAGGUCCAUACAGAAAAGAAAAACAGACUAGGACUGAACAGUGGAUAAAAAGCAAUAAAAUAAAAAGAUUAUACACGCUGCUCGUGAUCUGUUUGCCAGGACCAGCUCAGCAAAAUGCCAUCUGAUAGGCUUCCCUGGUAUCAGCACAUCCCUGACAUCAGCAUCCCCUUUCCAUGGACUUACUAGUGGUGGCACCACAACAAUUUUUGCAUCAGACAACUGUGAGGCAUUUCCCCACAAUGCCCCAGAAUAACUUGGCUCCGGCUUGUUGUGAUUGGCCACAGCAUCCGUAGAGCAGGGGGUGGAAGAGGGACACUUGAUGUGGAAUAUGUCCCUAUUUUCAUCUGAACCAGCUAGGCUGUGGCCUAGUUGAACCACUAAGCCGGGAUGCAAUGGGCUAACAACAACUUCACGCGGAUGCUCUGCUAUAAGGGAAUAAACAAAGGAUGGCAAUUCCAGGGCGUAGGAGCGACCACUGAGUAACAAAAACUGUGGCAGAAUAAGGGGGCCACCUCAGGCAGCUGGUUUUAGAGGUCAUGAAAGGGCAGCAAAGUGUUGACUUUACUUCACAGAAUCACAGAAUUGUGGAGUUGGAAGGGACCCCAAAAAUAAUCUAAUCCAGGGUUUCCCAAACUUGGGUCUCCAGCUGUUUUUGGACUACAACUCCCAUCAUCCCUAGCCAGCAGGACCAAUGGUCAGGGACGAUAGGACUUGUAGUCCAAAAACAAUUGGAGAAACGCUGAUCCCUGCAAUGCAGGAAUCUGUUUGCCCAAUGUGGGGCUCCAACCCACGAUUCUGAGAUUAAAAAUCUCAUGCUGUAACAACUGAGCUAUUUAAUUUUAUUAUUGUUGUGUUUUCAUUCCAAAGAAGGAGAGGGGCUUGUGAGAUUUUGUGCUGUAACUUGGCCCCCCUUAGGUGCUAUGCCCCUUGUCUUGGAGCGUGAGGGGGGCACGUCUCAUCCCAGGCCACAGAGAGGUUAGGCUGGCCUCAAACAGAGCCAGGGCUUUUUCGGCUACGGCUCCAACCUGGUGGAACGCUCUGCCACAAGAGACUAGGGCCCUGCGGGACUUGACAUCUUUCCGCAGGGCCUGCAAGACAGAGCUGUUCCACCAGGCCUUUGGCCAGGGCGCAGCCUGACUCCCUCCUUUGGCAAUCUUCACAGAACUUCAGCUUAAUGGUUGCCAUCAAUUUGAUUUUCAUUAAUUUUUAUAAUGAAAUGUUUUUAGAAUGUUGCACUAUUUUAUUGUUGUUAGCCGCCCUGAGCCCGGCCUCGGCUGGGGAGGGCGGGAUAUAAAUAAAAUUUAUUUUAUUAUUAUUAUUAUUAUUAUUAUUAUUAUUAUUAUUAUCUGCUGUUACCCAACAGGCUGGCCCUGCUCAGCAUCACCAGUGAACAUAACAUCCCCCCUGCCCAAGCCCCAUUUGCUUCUCAAUUUUUUUGGGGGGGGAACAAAUGCAGUUAGGCAAACAGGUGCCACAGAAGACCAGGCUCCUCUGCCUUUAAAAGCCGUGGUGUCUGUGCCACCCACACAGCCUUCCUAAGCGAAUUGUUCCCCAGCUCAACUUCUGCGCAUGGAAGUCUGAGGCCACGCAUAUCGCUGGUUGCCGAGUGAGAAGCAAAGAACUUGGCAGCUGCUUACAAACCCAGAAUGUUCCCCAACCGCC